rnacentral:rRNA from 1 species
ACUCCUACGGGAGGCAGCAGUGGGGAAUCUUGCGCAAUGGGGGAAACCCUGACGCAGCGACGCCGCGUGCGGGAUGAAGGCCUUCGGGUUGUAAACCGCUUUCAGCAGGGACGAAAUUGACGGUACCUGCAGAAGAAGGCCCGGCCAACUACGUGCCAGCAGCCGCGGUAAUACGUAGGGGCCUAGCGUUGUCCGGAAUUAUUGGGCGUAAAGAGCUCGUAGGCGGUUCGGCAAGUCGGAUGUGAAAUCUCCACGCUUAACGUGGAGGGGCCACUCGAAACUGCUGCGACUCGAGUCCGGUAGGGGAGUGUGGAAUUCCCGGUGUAGCGGUGAAAUGCGUAGAGAUC